rnacentral:rRNA from 1 species
GACGAACGCUGGCGGCGUGCUUAACACAUGCAAGUCGAACGGGAGUACUUUGAAAGCUUGCUGAUAAGUACUUUAGUGGCGGACGGGUGAGUAACGCGUGAGGAGCUGUCUUAUGCAGGGGGACAACAGUUGGAAACGGCUGCUAAUACCCCAUAAGCCGAGAGGUAAAAGGAGCAAUCCGGCAGAGGAGGUACUCGCGUCCUAUCAGCUAGUAGGUUGGGUAACGGCCGACCUAGGCGAAGACGGGUAGCCGGCCUGAGAGGGCGAACGGCCACACUGGAACUGAGAUACGGUCCGGACUCCUACGGGAGGCAGCAGUGGGGAAUAUUGGGCAAUGGGGGGAACCCUGACCCAGCGACGCCGCGUGGGUGAAGAAAUCCUUCGGGAUGUAAAGCCCUGUUGUAUGGGAAGAGCAGAAGACGGUACCAUACGAGGAAGCCCCGGCAAACUACGUGCCAGCCGCCGCGGUAA